UAGGGAAUCUUCCACAAUGGGCGAAAGCCUGAUGGAGCAACGCCGCGCGUGUGAUGAAGGGUUUCGGCUCGUAAAACACUGUUGUAAGAGAAGAAUGACAUUGAGAGUAACUGUUCAAUGUGUGACGGUAUCUUACCAGAAAGGAACGGCUAAAUACGUGCCAG
rnacentral:rRNA from 1 species